AGCUUCAUGGCGCAGCGGAAGCGCGCCGGGCUCAUAACCCGGAGGUCCUCUGAUCGAAACAGAGUGAAGCUA
rnacentral:tRNA from 1 species